rnacentral:rRNA from 1 species
UACGUAGGGGGCGAGCGUUGUCCGGAUUCAUUGGGCGUAAAGAGCUCGUAGGCGGUUCGGCAAGUCGGGUGUGAAAACUCCAGGCUCAACCUGGAGACGCCACCCGAUACUGCUGUGACUUGAGUCCGGUAGGGGACCACGGAAUUCCUGGUGUAGCGGUGAAAUGCGCAGAUAUCAGGAGGAACACCGGUGGCGAAGGCGGUGGUCUGGGCCGGCACUGACGCUGAGGAGCGAAAGCGUGGGGAGCGAACAGG